UCAGCAUUAUGCUUAUAUAACCAGGGCUAACGAUUGAUACGUAGAUGUAGCUUUCAUAGUGGAAUCCUCAGGUUCAGUGAGGAUUUAUUUUUGCAUUUCUAGCUGACAAUACAGGUAGCUACUUUUUUUAGUCUGAUUACAGUUGUUUGAGCCAAAGAUGCCUUUGAGAUAAAUAUUGGCAUUUGUUUGAGCCAAAGAUGCCUUUGAGAUGAAUAUUGGCAUUUUAUAAGCACCCACUGAGAAGAUGUGAUGUUCUGUAAUGAAGCUAUCUUUCUAAAUCUGCGGUUCUUGAGCGGAAGAUUAGACAGAGGACAUGUUACAAUUCAGAUGAACAGACUCUGAAUUAAAACGAGUGUUUAUCAUGACCUGAGAACUAGCGGCCAAUAUUCUAAAUGAAAGGGACUGGGUCUUCUUUGCCUUCCAUACAAAAUGGGAAAAUGAUUGUCGUCCCUUGACUUCUGUGCAGGGCACUAAUUAGCAGCCAAGUGAAGUAAAUGAUGAAUGACAAGGUAGAAGACGACAAAUUUUGCAAAGCAAGGUUUCACUGCUUAGGUGUUUCUUAGGUGACUGUUCAUGUGGUGUCAGGGCCAGCUUUCAUGCACCUCGACCGGUCCAUUUCCCCGGGUGAUCUUAUGGGUGCACUCCUCCACAUCAGCCUGGUACAUUAAGAUUUUACUGUUAAAGUGCUCUCAACUUGAAGCUAAAAUCACAAGGAAACGAGCAAACUCCCUCGCUGUCUAAGUCAAUGCCUCGUUGGUGAGGGAAGUAUUUUUUUUUAACUCAAUGAUGAGAUAGACAUGCUUAUAAAGCCUGAAAAUUCGUUUUAAUAAGACUUUUGCCUUUCGUGAUUA